CUACGGGGUGCUGCAGUUAGGCAUAAUCUACAAUGCGCGCAAGCGUGAUAGUUUGAGCCAGAGUGCUUUUCAAACGAAAAGCUUUUGCCGAAUGCAAAAAGUUCGGCGAAUAAGGACUGGGUAAGACGAGUGCCAGCCGCCGCGGUAAUACUCGCGGUCCAAGUCGCAGCCAUUUUUAUUGGGUCUAAAACAUCCGUAGCUUGCUAGUAAGUCCCUUGUGAAAUUCUAUAUCUUAAGUAUGGAGCGGGCAAGGGGUACUGCCAAGCUAGAGACUGGUAGACGUAACGAGUACGUUUGGAGUAGCGGUAAAAUGUGUUAAUCCCAGACGGACUAACAAUAGCGAAGGCAUGUUACGAGAACAGUUCUGACAGUAAGGGAUGAAGGCUAGGGGCGCAAAACGGAUUAGAUACCCCCGUAGUC
rnacentral:rRNA from 1 species